rnacentral:pre_miRNA from 1 species
UGUUAGGUUGGUGCAACAGUAAUUGCUGUUUUUGCCAUUGAAAAUAAUGGCAAAAACUUCAAUUACUGUUGCACCAACCUAAUA